rnacentral:rRNA from 1 species
UUGAUGAGAGUUUGAUCCUGGCUCAGGACGAACGCUGGCGGCGUGCCUAAUACAUGCAAGUAGAACGCCAAGACUUUGUACUUGUACAGAGUUGAGGAGUUGCGAACGGGUGAGUAACGCGUAGGUAACCUGCCUGGUAGCGGGGGAUAACUAUUGGAAACGAUAGCUAAUACCGCAUAACAGUGUUUACUGCAUGGUAAACAUUUAAAAGGUGCAACUGCACCACUACCAGAUGGACCUGCGUUGUAUUAGCUAGUAGGUAAGGUAACGGCUUACCUAGGCGACGAUACAUAGCCGACCUGAGAGGGUGAUCGGCCACACUGGGACUGAGACACGGCCCAGACUCCUACGGGAGGCAGCAGUAGGGAAUCUUCGGCAAUGGGGGGAACCCUGACCGAGCAACGCCGCGUGAGUGAAGAAGGUUUUCGGAUCGUAAAGCUCUGUUGUAAGAGAAGAACGUUAGCGGGAGUGGAAAAUCCGCUAAGUGACGGUACCUUACCAGAAAGGGACGGCUAACUACGUGCCAGCAGCCGCGGUAAUACGUAGGUCCCGAGCGUUGUCCGGAUUUAUUGGGCGUAAAGCGAGCGCAGGCGGUUUGAUAAGUCAGAAGUAAAAGGCUGUGGCUCAACCAUAGUACGCUUUUGAAACUGUCAAACUUGAGUGCAGAAGGGGGGAGUGGAAUUCCAUGUGUAGCGGUGAAAUGCGUAGAUAUAUGGAGGAACACCGGUGGCGAAAGCGGCUCUCUGGUCUGUAACUGACGCUGAGGCUCGAAAGCGUGGGGAGCGAACAGGAUUAGAUACCCUGGUAGUCCACGCCGUAAACGAUGAGUGCUAGGUGUUGGGUCCUUUCCGGGACUCAGUGCCGCAGCUAACGCAUUAAGCACUCCGCCUGGGGAGUACGACCGCAAGGUUGAAACUCAAAGGAAUUGACGGGGGCCCGCACAAGCGGUGGAGCAUGUGGUUUAAUUCGAAGCAACGCGAAGAACCUUACCAGGUCUUGACAUCCCUCUGACCGCCCUAGAGAUAGGGUUUCUCUUUUGAGCAGAGGAGACAGGUGGUGCAUGGUUGUCGUCAGCUCGUGUCGUGAGAUGUUGGGUUAAGUCCCGCAACGAGCGCAACCCCUAUUGUUAGUUGCCAUCAUUGAGUUGGGCACUCUAGCGAGACUGCCGGUAAUAAACCGGAGGAAGGUGGGGAUGACGUCAAAUCAUCAUGCCCCUUAUGACCUGGGCUACACACGUGCUACAAUGGCUGGUACAACGAGUCGCAAGUCGGUGACGGCAAGCUAAUCUCUUAAAGCCAGUCUCAGUUCGGAUUGUAGGCUGCAACUCGCCUACAUGAAGUCGGAAUCGCUAGUAAUCGCGGAUCAGCACGCCGCGGUGAAUACGUUCCCGGGCCUUGUACACACCGCCCGUCACACCACGAGAGUUUGUAACACCCGAAGUCGGUGAGGUAACCGCAAGGAGCCAGCCGCCUAAGGUGGGAUAGAUGAUUGGGGUGAAGUCGUAACAAGGUAGCCGUAUCGGAAGGUGCGGCUGGAUCACCUCCUUUCUAAGGAA